AAGUUAGCCUCCAUUUUGUUGAGCUGACCCGCUAUCGCAAGAGGCAUCGGGACUCUGAAUUACUUUAAAAGGAACACCGGCACUGCGUACUGAUAUCAC